rnacentral:rRNA from 1 species
AGUGAACGCUGGCGGCAGGCCUAACACAUGCAAGUCGAACGGCAGCACAGGAGACCUUGCCUCGUGUGUCGAGAGUGGCGGAGGGGUGAGGAGUCUAUCGGACUCCACGCUGUCGGGGGGGAAAUCGUAGGGACACUUGCGAAAAUCCCGCAUACGACCUACAGGCGAGAGCAGGGGAUCCUGGGCCCUUGCGCGAAGGAAUGCGCCGAUGUGGGAUUAGCUAGUUGGCGGGGUAAAGGCCCACCAAGGCGACGAUCCGUAGCUGGUCUGAGAGGAUGACCAGCCACACUGGAACUGAGACACGGUCCAGACUCCUACGGGAGGCAGCAGUGGGGAAUAUUGUACAAUGGGCGCAAGCCUGAUCCAGCCAUACCGCGUGGAUGAAGAAGGCCUUCGGGUUGUAAAGCCCUUUUGUUGGGAAAGAAAUCCAGCUGGCUAAUACCCUGUUGGGUUGACGGUACCCAAAGAAUAAGCACCGGCUAACUUCGUGCCAGCCGCCGCGGUAA